GAAAGGUGUUUUUUAAACAAGGCGGCAUAAUUACCACCACGUACCCUCGUAGUAGGAGUAGUAGUAAGUUGUAAUCCAUGUGCCCUGCUAUAUAAUAAUCCCCUAAGCACUCUCUUUUAGCCGUCCAAUGCCUGCUCCCCCCUCUCUCCCUCUCUCUUCUUUCUCCCGCACGCACGCGCGCUGUUUGGUGAGAGGCCAACUUUGGUGGUGACCAUGGAGAGGACGCCGUCGUCGUGGUGCAUCCUCCUGUGUCUGGCCGCCGCUUCGGCGGCGGCGGCGGCCCCGCUGCCGCAGUACUACAACGCCAUAUUCAGCUUCGGCGACUCCUUCUCCGACACGGGCAACUUCGUCAUCAUCAACUCCGGCAAGCUGCCCAACAUGCCCAAGUUCCCGCCGCCCUACGCCCGCUGCUCCAACGGCCGCCUCGUCAUCGACUUCCUGGCCGAGGCGCUGGGAGUGCCGCUGCUGCCGCCGUCGGCGAACAAGGGCACCAACUUCAGCCAGGGCGCCAACUUCGCGGUGAUGGGCGCCACGGCUCUGGAGCUCAAGUACUUCCGGGACAACAACGUGUGGAGCAUCCCGCCCUUCAACACCUCCAUGAAGUGCCAGCUCGAGUGGUUCCAGGAGGUCAAGGAGACCGUCUGCUCCUCCCCGCAAGAGUGCAAGGAGUUUUUCGGCAAGGCGCUGUUCGUGUUCGGCGAGUUCGGCGGCAACGACUACAGCUUCGCGUGGAAGGCGGAGUGGAGCCUGGACAAGGUGAAGACGGAGAUGGUGCCCAAGGUGGUGGAGUCGAUGAUCGACGGCGUCGAGGCGGUCCUCGACGAGGGCGCGCGGCACGUGGUGGUGCCGGGCAACCUCCCCGCCGGCUGCAUCCCCAUCACGCUCACCAUGUACGCGUCCGAGGACCGCAGCGACUACGACCCGCGCACCGGCUGCCUCAAGAAGUUCAACAGCGUGGCCCUCUACCACAACGCCAUGCUCCGCAUCGCCCUCGACCAGCUCCAGCGCCGCCGCCCGGACGCCCGCAUCAUCUACGCCGACUACUACACCCCCUACAUCCAGUUCGCCCGCACGCCUCACCUCUACGGUCAGCCGAUCACCUCCCUUUUCCUCCUUUGAUUUCAUUGAUCCCUACUUGCUUCCUGGUGCUGCUAGCGUGUGGGUGCUCUGCUCUCCUCUGUUUCAAUGGGGAAUGGGGCACCGGCCACCUUUGUGGGUGUUAGUUCCAGGUUCAGCCUCUCAGGGCUGGUCACGCGCUAGCAUGUCAGUUCCACACAGAAGACCGGCGCGAGUGGGUACAAGAGGGGAGCCCUAAGGGCGUGCUGCGGCGGCGGAGGCCCGUACAACUACAACAUGAGCUCGUCGUGCGGGCUGCCCGGUGCCACGGUGUGCGACGAUCCCGACGCGCACGUCAGCUGGGACGGCAUCCACCUCACCGAGGCGCCCUACCGCUUCAUCGCCAACACCUGGCUCAAGGGCCCUUACGCGUACCCGCCCCUCGCCAGUGUCGUCCGCGACGACAUGGUCUAUUAACUUAACUACUGUUAUUAACACAAACACACACGAUGAUCCUUCAUCCAUGACUAAACUA